rnacentral:rRNA from 1 species
CGGGUGAGUAAUGUAUGGGGAUCUGCCUGAUGGCGGGGGGUAACUACUGGAAACGGUAGCUAAUACCGCAUAACGUCGCAAGACCAAAGAGGGGGACCUUCGGGCCUCUUGCCAUCGGAUGUGCCCAGAUGGGAUUAGCUAGUAGGUGGGGUAACGGCUCACCUAGGCGACGAUCCCUAGCUGGUCUGAGAGGAUGACCAGCCACACUGGAACUGAGACACGGUCCAG